rnacentral:piRNA from 1 species
UGAAUGCUGACCCAAAUGAAUUCAACUAUAC